UGUUGGGUUAAGUCCCGCAACGAGCGCAACCCUUGCCUUUAGUUGCCAUCAUUCAGUUGGGCACUCUAGAGGGACUGCCGGUGUCAAACCGGAGGAAGGUGGGGAUGACGUCAAGUCCUCAUGGCCUUUAUGCCCAGGGCUACACACGUGCUACAAUGGGCGGUACAGAGGGCUGCAAAGCCGCGAGGUAGAGCGAAAUCCCAGAAAACCUGUCUCAGUCCGGAUUGAAGUCUGCAACUCGACUUCAUGAAGGCGGAAUCGCUAGUAACCGCGAAUCAGCAGGUCCGCGGUGAAUACGUUCCCGGGCCUU
rnacentral:rRNA from 1 species